rfam:Kluyvera ascorbata ATCC 33433 GKAS.assembly.035, whole genome shotgun sequence.
CUUGCGGGACGACCCGUAGGCGUAUCUCACCCGGGGACGGCCCCA